rnacentral:lncRNA from 12 species
CCAUAUAGUUCUCCUGGGUCUUAUUUUAGUUUUCCUCUUGCAGCACAUGCUUAUGUAGUGCUCUGUGCUAGACAUGGCUCUAACCCCAAUUUAUUAGUUCACUUAGUUUUGAUAACCCUGUAGGCUAUGUUCUAUGAACCAUUUAACCGCAGAGAGGUUAAAUAAUUAGAUUGGGUUACCAUGCACAGCAUGUUUUAAACAGUGCCUAGAAGAUAACAAACACCCAGUCAAUGUCAGCAGUCACAGGUAGGUGCCCUCCUCUGCGUCCCCUGUCCUGGAAGGUACUCUACUACUCUUGUGUCUCUCACACAAGGGAAUAAUAGCUUUAUCCCUUGCUUGGCAAGUCCUCAGAUCUUACUUAUAACUUCAGAAGUCCCAUUGGCCCUGGAACUCCCAAAGAGGAUUUGUAAUAGAAGAAAUUGAAUCUAUAAAGUAAGGACUCCUCUAAAACGAGCCCUCCUUCCUUAUGCCCCCGUAAAAAGUCAUCUGUUGCCUAAACCGAUAGCUUUAACUGCUGAUGUUGCUAGGACCAGAGAGAGAGAAGAAGGGAGGAGGAGGAGGAGGAAAAGAAAAUGAGGAAAGAAUGGAUAGGGGAGAACAGAAGUUGGAAAUGAGUGCAGAAAGUGGGCAUCUCUUUUAAAAACAGAUCCUUCAUAAUUACCCCAUGUAUAAGCCCAGCCCUAUGUGGGACCUAUUUUCUUCUUUUCCUCCUCCUCCUCCUACCUCCUCUUUCCUCUUUUUCUUUUCCUCCUCCUUCUCCUCCCUUCUUCUCUCUCUCUAGUCCUAGCAACAUCAGCAGUUAAAGCUAUCGGUUUAGGCAACAGAUGACCUUUUACGGGGGCAUAAGGAAGGAGGGCUCGUUUUAGAGGAGUCUGAGGACUUGCCAAGCAAGGGAUAAAGCUAUUAUUCUCUUAUUUGGUCAUAAACCUGCCUAUCUGGUGCUAAGAUUCCAAUGGUGGGAAGGCCUGUAACCUUCUGAGGGACUUCCCAGGCACUUCACCUAUUCAGAGUAACAACUGCAUGGGGAACAGACAGCUGGCUUGUUAACGUAUAAACAAAUACAGCCAUAAAAAUACUCAAACAGGAUCUACACAGCCUCCUCUCUUCCCCAACCUGUGGGAAUCAGUUGGCUACUAUCUAUGCUCUCUUUCAUCUCCAUUGGCUUUUCUUUUUAUUACAAGAACUCAAAAGGUACUUUCAUAUUGUUUUUGGACAUCAUUUCACAGGGUCAGCAUCUAUGAACUGGUAUCUAUCUGUGCCACGAAAGGUUAGGUCAUGCAAUGUAAUGUGACUUUUCCUAGCCUUUCAGGGCAGAGCACUGGUGGCCAUUAACACAUAAAAGCAGUUGAGGCUCCUCCCCUUGCAAUUCUGGUGCUAAGACAGGAGAAAGUCUUUGGAGCCCCAGAGAUAAAAUAGCACUGUCUUCCUUGAUUUUCUUUGAGAUUUGGUUGAGUGAGCCCGACUGGGGGCUUAGUGGCUCUGAGAUGAAGACUUUCAAGGAGGACCUUCUCACAACUUCCUGAUGAGUUUCUGGGGACCAGACCUUGCUGAAGGAUCACAGCACAAAGGGUUAAGUUGGAAAAAGUACAGAUGUUUAUUAUGAAUCAGCUUAAACCCUUUAUGCCUCUGACAAAGUAACC